rnacentral:piRNA from 1 species
UAGAGUUCUCAGGCCAGCUCCCUCUUC